GCUGUCGUCAGCUCGUGUUGUGAAAUGUUGGGUUAAGUCCCGCAACGAGCGCAACCCUUAUCCUUUGUUGCCAGCGGUCCGGCCGGGAACUCAAAGGAGACUGCCAGUGAUAAACUGGAGGAAGGUGGGGAUGACGUCAAGUCAUCAUGGCCCUUACGACCAGGGCUACACACGUGCUACAAUGGCGCAUACAAAGAGAAGCGACCUCGCGAGAGCAAGCGGACCUCAUAAAGUGCGUCGUAGUCCGGAUUGGAGUCUGCAACUCGACUCCAUGAAGUCGGAAUCGCUAGUAAUCGUGGAUCAGAAUGCCACGGUGAAUACGUUCCCGGGCCUUGUACACACCGCCCGUCACACCAUGGGAGUGGGUUGCAAAAGAAGUAGGUAGCUUAACCUUCGGGAGGGCGCUUACCACUUUGUGAUUCAUGACUGGGGUGAAGUCGUAACAAGGUAACCGUAGGGGAACC
rnacentral:rRNA from 1 species